rnacentral:rRNA from 1 species
AGUGAACGCUGGCGGUAGGCCUAACACAUGCAAGUCGAACGGCAGCACAGUAAGAGUUUGCUCUUACGGGUGGCGAGUGGCGGACGGGUGAGGAAUACAUCGGAAUCUACUUUUCCGUGGGGGACAACGUAGGGAAACUUAUGCUAAUACCUCAUACGACCUACGGGAGAAAGCAGGGGUUCUUCGGACAUUGCCCGAUCUAAUGAGCCGAUGUCGGUUUAGGUAGUUGGCGGGGUAAAGGCCCACUAAGGCGACGUAUCGUAGCUGGUCUGCCAGGAUGACCGCCAACACUGGAACUGGGAAACGGUCCAGACUCCACCGGAGGGAGGCGUAGGGGAAUAUUGGACAUGGGGCGCAGGCCUGAUGCAGCAAUACCGCGUAGUGGAGGAAGGUCUUCGAGUUUUAAAGCCCUUUUGUUGGGAAGGAAGAGCGGCAGGUUAAUACCCCGCUGUUCUGACGGUACCCAAAGAGUAAGCACCGGCUAACUUCGUG